AUGGCAUGCACACACCUUGCAGAUGCACCUUACAUGUGGCAUGCCUCCUGGGGGGACAAGCUGGAAAUACUGUUCCAGGCCUGGGCCAGGGUCCAGCAGCCCUUAGCCCAGCAGUCCAUCCACUGGAUAGAGGCCAUUGAGGGGUAUGAUACCUCCUCCCAAAAGGAUGAAGUGGUAUCUGCAGACAGAGCUGAGGUUAUCCCCAGGGUGUGUGGAGAUCCACCCCCACUGGAAGGGCCAGAUACCAUCAUGCCUAUCCUCAAGGAAGAUGGAUCCUACCUGCUCUGUGGAUUUUGGGCUGAUGAGCCUGAAGCACCAGCCCAGGCCUGGUCUGAGACUGUGAAAUGUACAAUCCAGCAGCCCAUCUGCUGUGCUGAGGCCAAUGUGGUGGAAGACCUUUCCUACAAAAAGGAGGAAGGGGAGGUGGCAACUGCAGUCCAGGCUGAGCCUAUCCCCAGGGUGUGUGGAGAUCCACCCCCACUGGAAAGGCCAGAUGUCAUCCUGCCUAUCCUGAAGGAUGACAGAUCCUACAUGCUCUGUGGAUAUUGGGCUGUUGAGUCUGGAACACCAGUGCAGGUUUCUGCUGAGCCUUGGCACCUUACAGCCCAGCAGCCCAUCUGCUGUGCUGAGGCCAUUGUGGUGGAAGAUACCUCAAGCCAAAAGGAGGAAGGAGAGGUGGCAUCUCCAGACCUGGCCAAGGCAAACCCCAGGGUGUGUGGAGAUCCACCCCCACUGGAAGGGCCAGAUGUCAUCGUGCCUAUCCUCAAGGAUGAUGGGUCCUACAUGCUCUGUGGAUUUUGGGCAGAUGAUGAUGUUGAAGCUCCAAUCUGGGCCUGUGCUGGGGCCUGGCACCCUACAACCCAGCAGCCCAUCUGCUGUGCUGAGGCCAUUGUGGUGGAAAACCCCUACCACCAAAAGGAGGAAGUGGAGUUGGCAUCUACAGACCAGGCCGAGGCUAUCCCCAGGGUGGGUGAAGAUCCACCCCCACUGGAAGGGCCAGAUGCCAUCGUGCCUGUCCUCAAGGAUGACGGGUCCUACGUGCUCUGUGCAUAUUGGGCAGAUGAACCUGAAGCACCAGACCAGGCCUGGGCUAGGGCCUGGCACUUUACAACCCAGCAGCCCCUCUGCUGUGCUGAGGCCAUUGUGGUGGAAGACUCCUCAAACAAAAAGGAGAAAGUCAAGGGGGCAUCCUCAGAUCAGGCUGAGGCUAUGUCCAGGGUGGGUGAAGAUCCACCCCCACUGGAAGGGCCAGAUGUCAUCGUGCCUAUCUUCAAGGGUGACGGAUCCUACCUGUUCUGUGGAUUUUGGGCUGAUGAGUCUGAAGCACCAGUCCAGGCCUGUGCUGAGCCCUGGCACCUUACAACCCAGAAGCCCAUUUGUUGUGCUGAAGCCAUUGCGGUGGAAGAGCCUUCCUGCAAAAAGGAGGAAGGGGACUCAGCAUCUGCAGAGCAGGCCGAGGCUAUACCCAGGGUGUGUGGAGAUCCACCCCCACUGGAAGGGCCAGAUGUCAUUGUGCCUAUCCUCAAGGAAGAUGGAUCCUACCUGCUCUGUGGAUAUUGGGCUGAUGAGCCUGAAGCACCAGUCCAGGCCUGGGCUGGGGCCUGGCACUUUACAACCCAGCAGCCCAUCUGCAGUGCUGAGGACACUUUGGUGGAAGAGCCCUCAUUUCAAGAGGAGGAAGGUGUGGUGGCACCUGCAGACCAGGCCGAGGCUAAUCAGAGCCUCUGCUCUGCAUCACACCUCGGGGUGUGUGAAGAUCCACCCCCACUGGAAGGGCCAGAUGUCAUUGUGCCUAUUCUCAAGGAUGAUGGGUCCUACAUGCUCUGUACAAUUUGGAUGGAUGAUCCUGAAGCGCCAGUCCAGGCCUGGGCUGGAGCCUGGCACCCUACAACCCAGCAGCCCAUCUGCUGUGCUGAGGCCAUUGUGGUGAAAGAUGCCACCUACCAAAAAGAGAAAGUCAUGUUGGCAACUGCUGAUUGGGCUGAGGCUACCUCCAGGGUGUGUGGAGAUCCACCACCACUGGAAGGGCCAGAUGUCAUCGUGCCUAUCCUCAAGGAUGACAGGUCCUACAUGCUCUGUGCAUAUUGGGCAGAUGAGCAUGAAGCCCCAGUCCAGGCCUGGGCUGGGGCCCUGCACCCUACAGCCCAGCAGCCCAUCUGCUGUGCGGAGGCCAUUGUGGUGGAAGAUGCCUCCAGCCAGAAGGAGAAAAUAGAGGUGGCAUUUGCAGAGCAGACUGAGGCCACACCCAGGGUGGGUGAAGAUCCACCCCCACUGGAAGGGCCAGAUGUCAUCGUGCCUGUCCUCAAGGAUGACGGAUCCUACCUGCUCUGUGCAUAUUGGGCAGAUGAGCCUGAAGCCCCAGUCCAGGCCUGGGCUGGGGCCCUGCACCCUACAGCCCAGCAGCCCAUCUGCUGUGCUGAGGCCAUUCUCGUGGAAGAGCCCUCAUCACAAGAGGAGGAAGGGAAGGUGGCACGUGCAGACCAGGCUGAGGCUAAUCAGAGGGUGUGUGGAGAUCCACCCCCACUGGAAGGGCCAGAUGUCAUCGUGCCUAUCCUCAAGGAUGAUGGAUCCUACCUGCUCUGUGGAUACUGGGCAGAUGAGCCUGAAGCACCAGCCCAGGUCUGGGCUGAGGCCUGGCAUGCAAAAACCCAGCAGCCCAUCUGCUGUGCUGAGGCUUUUUGGGUGCUAAGAACUUCCUCUGGUGGAUACCAUGAAACCUGACUCUGUUCAUUCCAGUACCCCAUUUAUAUUAAAGUUUGGUUUUGUUAAUUAUUUGGGUUCAAUAUUUUGCUCCAUAUUCUUUAAACCUCACAAAUACAUGGAUUAGUAUAACACUGGAACCUGGAAUUCUAGGUGUCUUCUGAUAACUGUAGUCAAGAUUGUUCCUAUGCCACAGGACGUGUCUACAUGCAUCAAGUCUAGUGAAAAAAACCAGACAUAGUCCAAUACCAUGUGAGUACAGGUUAAAGCAGACCUGCUGGGAGUGCACAGUAAGGAGGCAGUUCUAAGGUGAAUGCAAGAAUGCAUAUACUCAAGAUGAGCAUGAGAAUCUCUCAAGACAGUGAGGGAGUGUCAUUAGAAAGGCGUGUGGGACUCUUCUGGAAUCUUAGUGAGUGGGGAUAUUCACUUUCAACAACAUAUUAAUGUGUCCCCUUGAAUUUCAUGGGUCUUUCUCCAUACUGGUUUACAAAACAAAGGAAAAUGAUCGGGCCGGCACCAUGGCUCAAUAGGCUAAUCCUCCACCUAGCAGCACUGGCACACUGGGUUCUAGUCCCGGUUGGGGCUCCGGAUUCUGUCCCGGUUGCUCCUCUUCCAGGCCAGCUCUCUGUUGUGGCCAGGGAGUGCAGUAGAGGAUGGCCCAAGUGCUUGUGCCCUGCACCCCAUGGGAGACCAGGAGAAGCACUUGGCUCCUGCCUUCGGAUCAGUGUGGUGUGUCGGUCGCAGUGUGCCAGCUGUGGCAGCCUUUGGAGGGUGAACCAAUGGCAAAAAGGAAGACCUUUCUCUCUGUCUCUCUCUCUCACUGUCCACUCUGCCUGUCCAAAAAAAAAAGAAAGAAAAUGAUCAUUUUCUGUCAGCACAUCAUCACAGGAAGCACACAGGGAACUAUGAAAUUUGGCUGUUUUUCUUCUGCACAGUGCAGUGAGCCUUGGGCCCCUUGCUGCCUGACUGUUGAGCAAAGGGUAGGAGGUGGCCCACAUCCCAGCCAGGCCCCAAUGGUGGU
rnacentral:lncRNA from 1 species